ensembl:lncRNA
AUGAAUUUACUUCUUGCUUUCCUUGCUUUUCCUAGACAUAAACAUCUUCGCUGUAGUGUUUCCGGAUUUUUAACCUGGAAUUUUUCUGUUUGUUUUCGUGUUCAACAGCAACUAUCAUUUUCCCAAUACUCAUUGGGAUCUACAUGUCAUACUGCAGUUGGUAAACCACACCUUGUGGGCCAAAUCCAACAGCCGCCUAAUUUUUUAUUUUUACUUGCGUUUAGUGGACACGCAGCGUCGCAUUGGUUUCAGGUGUAGAGCUGAGUGAUUUGGCAAGUUUAUACGUUAUGCUGUGUUCGUCACAAGUACAGCUACCAUCCGUCCCAUUACGUCACUCUUACAACGCCAUUGACUGCAUUCCUUAGGCUCUGCUUUUCAUUCCCGUGAACUACUCAUCCCCUAACUGGAGGCCUGUAUCUCCCCCUCCCCCCUUCACCCCUAUUGCUCAUUCCCCUCACCUCUUUCCUGUCUGGCAACCACCAGUUUCUUCUCUGUAUUUAUAGGUCUGAUUCAGCUUUCUGAUUGUUUAUUUUUUUUUUGUUUUUUUUAUUCAUUCAUUUGUUUUUUUUAGAUUCCACUCAUGAGUAGAGUCAUAUGGAAUUUGUCUUUUUCAGUUUGACUUCUUUCACUCAGCGUCGUACCCUCUAGAUCCAUCCGUGUUCUUUCCUUUUAAAAACAUUUUUAAUGUUUAUUUAUUAUUUUGAGAGAGAGAAACAGAAUGCAAGCAGGGGAGGGGCAGAGAGACAGGGAGAGCCAGAAUCCAAAGCAGACUCCAGGCUCUGAGCUGGACACCCAGCUCGAACCCACAGACUGUGAUAUCAUGACCUGAGCUGAAGUCAGACACCUAACUGACUGAGCCACCCAGGCACCCCCAUUCGUGUUCUUUCAAAGGCAUGAUCCCAUCCUUUUAAUGGCUGUGUAAUAUUCCAUUGUAUGUAUAUACCACAUUUUCCUUAUGCAUUUGUCUAUCAAUGGACACUUAGGUUGUUUCCGUGUCUUGGCUAUUGCAAAUAAUACUGCAAUGGACACAGGGGUGCAUAUAUCUCUUUGACUUAGUGUUUUCCUUUUCUUUGGGUAAAUACCCAGCAGUGGAAGUAUUAGAUCAUAUGGCAUUUCUAUUUUAACAUUUUGAGGACCCUCCAGACUGUGUCCGCAGCGGCUGUACCAAUUUACAUUCCCACCGAGAGUGUCCAAAGGUUCCUCCUUCUCUACAUCCUCGCCAGCACUUGUUAUUUCUUGCCAUUUUGAUUUUAGCCAUUCUGACAGGUGCACAGUGAUACCUCCCUGUGGUUUUGAGUUGCAUUUCCCUGAUGCUGAGCGACGUUGAACAUCUUUUCAUGUGUCUGUUGGCCAGCUGGAUGUCUUCUUUGGAGAAAUGUCUUUUCAUGUCUUUGACCUAUUUUUUAAUUGGGUUAUUUGUUUUUUGGGGUUUUUUUCGUGUUGAGUUAUAUAAGUUCUUUAUAUACUUUGGGUGUUAACGCCUUAUCAGAUAUAUCGUUUGCAAGUAUCUUCUCCUAUUCAUUAGGUUGUUUUUGUUUUGUUUGGUCAGUGGUCUCCUUCACCGUGCAAAAGUUUUUUAUUUUGAUGUAGUCCCAAUAGUUUAUUUUUGCUUUUGUUUUUCUUGCCUUAGAAGACUUUUCUAGAAAAAUGUUGCUAUGGCUGAUCUCAGAGAAAUUACUGCCUGUGUUCUCUUCUAGGAAUUUUAUGGCUUCAGGUCUCACAUGUGAGUCUUUCAUCCAUUUUGAGUUAUUUUUGUGUAGGGUGUAAGAAAGUGGUCCAGUUUCAUUCUCUGGCAUGUGGCUGUCCAGUUUUCCCAGCACCAAGUUUAUCGUAGAGGCUGUCUUUUCUCCAUUGUAAAUCCUUACCUCCUUUAUCAUAAAUUAAUUGACCAUGUAAGCACGAGUUUCUUUCUGGGCUCUCUAUUCCAUUGAUCUGUGGCUCUUUUUGUGCUAGUACCAUACUGUUUUGAUGACUACAGCUUUGUAGUAUAUCUUGAAACCUGGAAUUGUGAUAGUUCUAGCUUUUUUCUUCCUUCUCAAGAUCGCUUUGGCUAUUUGGGGUCUUCUGCGGUUCUGUAAAAAUUUUAGGCUUGAUUUGUUCUAGUUUUGUGAAAAAUGCUGAUGGUAUUUUGAUAGAGAUGAUGUUUAAUCUGUAGAUUGUUUUGGACAAUGUGGACAUUUUAACGAUAUUCUUCCAAUCCACGAGCAUGGAAUAUCUUUCCAUUGUUUGGUGUCAUCUUCCAUUUCUCUCAUCGGUGUUUCAUAGUUUUUGGAGCACACUUAUUUCACCUCUUUGGCGAAGUAUAUUCCUAGAUAUUUUGUUCUUUUUGGUGCAAUUGUAAAUGGUACUCUUAAUUUCUUUUCUUGCUGCUUUGUUAUUAGUUUAUAGAAAUGCUACCCAUUUCUAGGUAUUCAUUUUGUGCCCUGCCACUUUAUUGAAUUCGUUUAUUACUUCUUGUAGUUUUUUGGUGGCAUCUUUAGGAUUUUCUAUGCAUAGGAGUAUCACAUGUCUGCAAAUAGUGACAGUUUAGCUUCUUCUUUAUAUAGAUGCCUCUUAUUUCUUUUUGUUGUCUGACUGCUGUGGCUAGGACUUCCAGUGCUGCGUUGAAUAAAAGUGGUGAGAGUGGGCA